GUUUGAUCCUGGCUCAGAUUGAACGCUGGCGGCAUGCCUUACACAUGCAAGUCGAACGGCAGCACGGGAGCAAUCCUGGUGGCGAGUGGCGAACGGGUGAGUAAAGUAUCGGAACGUACCUUUUCAGUGGGGGAUAACGUAGCGAAAGUUACGCUAAUACCGCAUAUUCUGUGAGCAGGAAAGCAGGGGAUCGCAAGACCUUGCGCUGAUUGAGCGGCCGAUAUCAGAUUAGCUAGUUGGUGGGGUAAAGGCCUACCAAGGCGACGAUCUGUAGCGGGUCUGAGAGGAUGAUCCGCCACACUGGAACUGAGACACGGUCCAGACUCCUACGGGAGGCAGCAGUGGGGAAUUUUGGACAAUGGGGGCAACCCUGAUCCAGCCAUGCCGCGUGAGUGAAGAAGGCCUCGGUUGUAAG
rnacentral:rRNA from 1 species